GCUGGAUUAGUUAAAUGGUAUAACGGGUCAUUCGUAAUGAUUAGUUGGGGGUUCGAUUCCCUCAUCCAGCACCA
rnacentral:tRNA from 1 species